AGGAACAUCGUUCCUCUCGAUCCCCUUCCGUCGCCGCCGCCGUCCUCUUGAUCCCCUCGAGUAAGCGGCGCCGCCGUUGGCUCCGAUCUCCUCCAUGGCGGAUUCCCAUGGACGCCGCGGCAGGGCAUGGUCGCGUUAAUCGCAUGGAGGGUCACGUCGAGGAAAGCGACGACCUCGCAGGCAUCGGGUCAAGCGGCUGGCCCUUCUUACGCGAUUGCGCCGUUCUUUUCUUCCCCGGCAGAGAUUGGUGCCACCACGGCCGCAUCAUGGAUUUUGCCCUGCAUCGCCUCUGAUUUGGGAGUCUGUUUUUUUUUUGCGCUGGAUCCUGAUUUGGGCGGGAUUUUUUUCCCAGGCAUUGAGCGCGCGCUGGACGGCGGGAACUGUCGCGUCAAGGAGGUCGCUAUGGACGGUGGAUCCAGGGCGCUGCACGUCGCUGUCGGCCACGGGAGGAUGCCAUACCCUUUGGGCGCAACAAACUCUUGGCCAUAUCCUCUUCCGUUUUCACAACAAGAAAGAGAUGCAUAUGAGAGGAAGAGAGCCUCCCCCAAGCUCUGUCUAGGCGAUGCACGAGAAAUUUGGAAACUAUCAAGGAGAUGUCCAAUGAUGAAUAUACUCAGACACUGAGAUACAUUCUAAAACGUGUUUACGCAGGUGAUGGGGCUGCCGCCAACUUGGGCCUGCUCAAGAACAGCGACUCUACAGGAGGGGGAUGGAGUCACGGAAGCUCCUGUGCUAUUGGGAGCGACGGUUCCACAAUGAGCCGGUCUUUUGUCACAUCUGAGUUGGAGGAUGUCCAAGGCUGGAAGUGUUCGUCACCACUAAGCCGCGGCUGAGAUAAUACUGACGCGAUGUCCAGAUUUGGAUGUCUCAUCUCUGAACAGUUGAAACGCCGAGUACUCCAUGAAAGCUUGCCUAGCGGCUUUUGCGCAAUAUUAUAUCUUUGGACGUUUGCACUUCCGCGGCUCUAGACAUGAGCUUCCUUAUAUGGUAAGAAAAUGCUGGUCAAGAGCUCGAUUCAGCUUGUGGAAAUAAAUAAUCUCCCAUAUUUAUUAAAUUUGCUUGCUUUGGCAUGUUACUUUAUCUAUAUUUGAAAUAGGAUAUUCUUUGAUAUGUAAUUUUAGGAAAUAGUUGGUUUUCAAUCUUUUUGCUUGAGAUUCAGAAGAUCCAA